AGGAGUUGCAGCUGGGCCAAUUACCAGAGAUUAGGAACAGGCCUGACUUUAACAGGCCACAGCUGUGACCAAGGAGAAGAAGAGUGCUAUAAAAGAGUGGGUUGGGGCCUUGAGGAGUAACUGGAGUCAGUUGGCUCCUUUGUGGAGAAGAAAGAGUCAGUGCUUUGAAGAGCUGCCCACGAAACCAUACUAAGAAGGAGCUGAAAAUGGUCUCCCAGCAACUGGCCAAAAGCAGCAAAGAGCUGGGGCACAUCACAGCCAAGCCUUGUGGCCUCCCUCCUCCUGGAGAGUGCAGAAAGAGAUUGCACAAUUGCUUCUUUGUUUAUGGAGCUGGACAUAUAAAAGGAAGGGUGCCAGUGAGUGGUGGAGCUAGUUGUACUGGCCUACCAGGGUGGAUGGACAGAGAUGGGAAAGAGUGGCCUGUACAGGAGGGGACUAAGCUAACUUGGUCACCAAGAGGCAAGGCUGGAACUGCUGUCUCUUGCUGAUCUGGAAAGAAAAAUCUCCCUUCCUGUUAAGUGUAGAAGCCAGUCUGCUGUGUUAAAGGAUCAUGGCCCAACUUGCAGUUCAGGUUAAGAACUGGGGUGUUAUUUUUGCACUGGCCCCUGAUGGACCAACACUGAAUAUGAAAAACUGAAAAAGAGGUUGCAUCCUCCUAUUCCUCUUACCUGGACACCUGCCCAAAGUGUAGAGAUUGGGCGGGGGAGUCUCGUAGGAAGUGUAGCAGAGUUGGCUCUCCAGGAGCUUCUGGGUGGCUCAUUGGGACUGUCAUUGCUGAGAGGAUCUUCUUUGCUUGGAAGCUUUGAUCUGGGUAGGUCAGAUUCUGGAACUGCUGUAGUUCUCUCAGACUUGGCUUUGGACGACAAUAAUUUUGCAUGGACACAAGAAGGCAGCGACAAUGAAGACGUUGUAAUGCAACGAGGUGGACUCUUACAAAUGUGGUGGAGAGAGCCAGUGU